rnacentral:rRNA from 1 species
UACGUAGGGGGCAAGCGUUGUCCGGAUUUAUUGGGCGUAAAGAGCGUGUAGGCGGCCAGGUAGGUCAGCUGUGAAAACUCGAGGCUCAACCUCGAGACGUCGGUUGAAACCACCUGGCUAGAGUCCGGAAGAGGAGAGUGGAAUUCCUGGUGUAGCGGUGAAAUGCGCAGAUAUCAGGAGGAACACCGGUGGCGAAGGCGGUUCUCUGGGCCUGUACUGACGCUGAGGAGCGAAAGCGUGGGGAGCGAACAGG